rnacentral:rRNA from 1 species
UACGUAGGGUGCGAGCGUUAAUCGGAUUUACUGGGCGUAAAGCGAGCGCAGGUGGUUUAAUAAGUCUGAUGUAAAAGGCAGUGGCUCAACCAUUGUGUGCAUUGGAAACUGUUAGACUUGAGUGCAGUAGAGGAGAGUGGAAUUCCAUGUGUAGCGGUGAAAUGCGUAGAUAUAUGGAGGAACACCGGUGGCGAAAGCGGCUCUCUGGACUGUAACUGACACUGAGGCUCGAAAGCGUGGGUAGCAAACAGG